UACAGAGGUCCCGAGCGUUGUUCGGAUUCACUGGGCGUAAAGGGUGCGUAGGUGGUGAAGUAAGUCGGAUGUGAAAUCUCGGAGCUUAACUACGAAACUGCAUUGGAAACUACUUUGCUCGAGGGUUGGAGGGGGGACUGGAAUUCUCGGUGUAGCAGUGAAAUGCGUAGAUAUCGAGAGGAACACCAGUGGCGAAGGCGAGUCCCUGGACAACUCCUGACACUGAGGCACGAAAGCUAGGGGAGCAAACAGG
rnacentral:rRNA from 1 species